rnacentral:rRNA from 1 species
UACGGAGGGUGCGAGCGUUAAUCGGAAUUACUGGGCGUAAAGCGCGCGUAGGUGGCUUGAUAAGCCGGUUGUGAAAGCCCCGGGCUCAACCUGGGAACGGCAUCCGGAACUGUCAGGCUAGAGUGCAGGAGAGGAAGGUAGAAUUCCCGGUGUAGCGGUGAAAUGCGUAGAGAUCGGGAGGAAUACCAGUGGCGAAGGCGGCCUUCUGGACUGACACUGACACUGAGGUGCGAAAGCGUGGGUAGCAAACAGGAUUAGAUACCCCGUAGUCC